CUAAAAAAUUCCCAUUUUUGUUGUAACGCAUUGCAAUUUUCAGUGUAGAGUCUUCAUGUUAAGAAACUUUGCAAUAAAAAUAAGAUCUGUUCGACUUUUUCUUGUGCAUUACCAACUAGAGUUAAUUGAGAGUUUCCUUUUGAAUCAUAUGUUGAUUGAAACCAUUAUGAGGACCAAAUGUGUAAUUUUUACUAAAGUAUCACCGAUUGUUCUUUUCUAUCUGUGACCGAAAAACAAAAUUCUAGCUCAAUAUUCGUGUCAUUCGGAAUCUUAUAUUUGUGCUUUAUCCAUUCUUCCCAAUUUCGUUUUUCUUCACUAUUUAUUCGCUUCCAUCGUGUUUGGUAUAAUGAAGUCAAUCGCUGUAUAUUUGAAGUAACUGGUUCCUCAAAUUGGUUGACACAAGAGAAUUGUAUGAGAGUAUCACUGACAUCUUUUUUUUUUGAAUGAACUUCAAGAGUGUAUAGUUUAAGUGUUUCACACGAAAGGCCGUUAUCUUUAAAUAAAGUGUGAUCAUAAUUGUAUGUAGCACCAUAAUUUAGUAGACAACCUGUAAUUGCUGUACUGGUGCACUCGAAUUCUUUCUGUUCAUUAUUUUCAAUAAUAUUUUGUCGCCAUGAAGAAGAUAUAUCGAUUGUGAACGUUGACAAGUUUCUUUUACAAAGGUCCAAAAGUCGAUCCACAUGUUUAGUUAUACAAGACUGCAAUAGCCGAUUUUGCUUUUUUGAAGGUAAAUCUACUACUAUAGGUACCAAUGAAUCUAUGGAACUCCAUUCUUCCCAAUUUGCGACAUGCAAUACGAAACAUUGUGAAAUGGGCUCCGUGAAAUAGAUGCCCCGUAAGCAAUCCGGGCCUACGAAUUCGAUAAUUUCUCUUAAUUCAGAAAUUUCCAAAAAAACGCAAUCGACGAGAUAACUUGUUUUGAGUCCUAUCAUAACGGGAAGUAUCCCAUCUACUAGCUUUAUCGCUGUUGAAUGAGAAAUUCCAAUUAAUUUCAAAAAUCGAAUAAUGUCUUUAU